rnacentral:rRNA from 1 species
GUGAAUCGCUGAAGUGGAACCGGAGAGAGUUAACAUAACUUGGUAGCUAUAUUCUCUAUAGUCGCUUAGCUGUGGCUUUGGGGGGUGGACGCUACCUGUUGUUGCGCUGACUGCGUUGAUCAUGCUUUCCUAACAAUGUAGUGUUGCCCACAUUGUGGUGUCUUGCUUAUUGGGAGGUUUGUCAUGGUUAACGUCAAGCCUUAGUUUCUAGGGAGUCAGUGUGAAAGUUAACCACCUUUCCGACCCGUCUUGAAACACGGACCGAGGAGUGUAAUUUACACGCGAGUCAAAGGGCUGAGGAAACCUUAUGGCAUAAUGAAAGUAAAGACCGGUUAACCGGUUGACAUGGGAUCCGACUGAACUUCUUCGAAACGGAGCACCAUGGCCCUGUCUUGUCUGCUUGCAGAUGGGCAGCGGUAGAGCGUGUAGGUUGCGACCCGAAAGAUGGUGAACUAUGCUUGAGCAGGACGAAGCCAGAGGAGACUCUGGUGGAAGUCCGUAUCGGUUCUGACGUGCAAAUCGAUCGAUAGACUUGAGUAUAGGGGCGAAAGACUAAUCGAACCGUCUAGUA